UACAGAGGUCCCAAGCGUUGUUCGGAUUUACUGGGCGUAAAGGGUGCGUAGGCGGUCGGGUAAGUCUGGUGUGAAAUCUUCGAGCUUAACUCGGAAACUGCAUUGGAUACUAUUCGGCUAGAGAGUUGGAGGGGGGAUUGGAAUACUUGGUGUAGCAGUGAAAUGCGUAGAUAUCAAGUGGAACACCAGUGGCGAAGGCGAAUCCCUGGACAACUUCUGAUGCUGAGGCACGAAAGCUAGGGGAGCAAACAGG
rnacentral:rRNA from 1 species